rnacentral:rRNA from 1 species
GGGGGGGCGGGCUAACAAUGCAAGUCGAACGGUACAGGGAGCAGCUUGCUGCUCUGCUGACGAGUGGCGGACGGGUGAGUAAUGUCUGGGAAACUGCCUGAUGGAGGGGGAUAACUACUGGAAACGGUAGCUAAUACCGCAUAACGUCUACGGACCAAGUGGGGGACCUUCGGGCCUCAUGCCAUCAGAUGUGCCCAGAUGGGAUUAGCUAGUAGGUGGGGUAACGGCUCACCUAGGCGACGAUCCCUAGCUGGUUGAGAGGAUGACCAGCCACAUGGAACUGAGACACGGUCCAGACUCCUACGGGAGGCAGCAGUGGGGAAUAUUGCACAAUGGGCGCAAGCCUGAUGCAGCAUGCCGCGUGUAUGAAGAAGGCCUUCGGGUUGUAAAGUACUUUCAGCGGGGAGGAAGGUGUUGUGGUUAAUAACCACAGCAAUUGACGUUACCC